CAGAGUGGCGGACGGGUGAGUAACGCGUGGGAAUGUGCCCUUAGGUUCGGAAUAACUCAGGGAAACGUGAGCUAAUACCGGAUGAGCCCGUAGGGGGAAAGAUUUAUUGCCGAAGGAUGGGCCCGCGUCGGAUUAGCUAGUUGGUGAGGUAAAGGCUCACCAAGGCGACGAUCGGUAGCUGGUCUGAGAGGAUGAUCAGCCACACUGGGAGUGAGACACGGCCCAGACUCCUACGGGAGGCAGCAGUGGGGAAUAUUGGACAAUGGGCGCAAGCCUGAUCCAGCCAUGCCGCGUGAGUGAUGAAGGCCUUAGGGUUGUAAAGCUCUUUCGCCCGGGACGAUAAUGACGGACCGGCAGA
rnacentral:rRNA from 1 species